UUGACAGCCUUGGAGACUGAGCAGGUACCGCAAGGAUAGUUGCAAUGCAAGCAUCCCCAUGUGGUCUUGCCAAUUUUCCUCAAUCCUGAUCUGAAGAAUCUACUUCUAGGGAUGAGAGGGGACUUCAUUCACCAUGGCCCGUUCAGUCACUGCCCUAU
rnacentral:sRNA from 1 species